rnacentral:lncRNA from 1 species
UUUAUUGGGAUGCAUGCAAAAGUGUAGCUCAAAACACACGGAGAAUCAUGUGAAGAAUGAAAAUGCUCCAUGGAGAAAUUUACUACAUGCUAGAAAGAACACAGCGACUUUGGUUACGAUCAUCAGCAAAGAUGAUUGAAGAGAAUUCUAGUGUUUGGGCAAGUUACAUCAAGGUGAGAACACCAACUGUUUAUCAUGAUCUAAUAUUGUGAAGUAUGGAAUUUGAGUAUUUCUGCUUGGACUUUGUAUCUGUUUUUAUAUAGUUUUAGAGGUUUAAUGGCUAUCCGCUUGCUGCUGUUUUGAGUAAAAAAUUCUUAAUAUUAAUAAAAUGCUGGGAGGUAAAUGACUAGGGUACAGGGCUUCUGUUUUUUAUGAAACACGUAUUUUUCUGUCCAUGACCAAUUUUUUAAUUCAAAAAAUAAAAAUAAAGUCCCCCUUGUGCCCGAGACACUUCCAGAUUCCAUUUAGGCAUUUAACAGCCAUUCUGUGGACCUUAUGUCAAUAAUUAAUUUCUUUUAAUAUGCAGUUCUUUUAGUAAGUUCACUUUUAGCUAAUAAUGAAGAUGAUACGCAGAUUCUUGCCCGAGUGCAUAGCAUAAAUUUUAAUUGGUCACUUCUUCAAUGAUGUAGACAUUAAAUCUGAGCUUGAACUUAGACCCUAGAUCAGUUUAUUAAAAUUUAAUGGGUAUAAGUUAAUAUCAUAAACGUGCAAGAAAAUAAAUAUUUGUAAUUAUAAUGAUGUCGAGUAUUAUUGGUGUCCGGAUAGCUUUUGGUGUUGAGUAUAAGGUUCUGUUUUAUGCUUCUUGGUAUACUUGUUUUUGACUGUGCUUGGAUCUAUAAUGAUCUCUUUCUUGUUUAUUUUGUGCGAUGAAAAUGAAUAGGCAGAGCUCAGUAUAGCACAAUUACAGUCUACACCUGUUUGACAUUUUGGAAAAUUAAAAGAAAUAUUUGGGAAGAAUCAAGCAACCAGGAGCCAUGGAGUUAAUCUUGAUGGAAGCGAAGCACAAGAAAAUGGGUCAAAGUGAAGUUUCAUCGUUGUUUAUAAAUGGAUCAUCCUCAACAUCAACGCAAGCAAAUAAAAAGAGCAAAACAAGAUUUGGUUAAUGUUAGUGAUGAUUUGACAUUGAUCCAAGGGAUGUGAUGUAGUUUUACAUGAAUGUAUCUAAAAGUGUCUUCGGAUUUGUAUAUACUUGGUUCAUUUAAAUGUAUUUGGUCAAGUUAAUUAGUAAUAUAAAAAGGCCCCGUACUAGUGUCAUUGUGGUGUGUGCAAGUGGAAUCAAAGUAAUUUGAAUGUUUUCG